GUGAUUAAAAAAGGCUAAAAGACUUAUAAUAUAAAACAGAAGCACUAUACGUAAAGAUGUUGUAAUGAAAUAUACAUGUUCGGAUUCUGCCUGUCUCUGCUCCCUUUACUACUUCGCGGAAGUAGCUGUGUAAACGCGUUUUGAAAAGUUGACAGUCCAUGUGGCGAUGCCUCAACAGCAAGCAAUGCUCUCAUACCACGACCAAAAUUUUCUGUGUAAAUCAAUGGAACCCUUCGUGAAUUCUUAUUUCUUUCUGCUCUGAACUCUGAUCUUUCCCCGCGCACAGUACUGAAAACCGCGUAAACAAGUGCCGGGUAAUCAGAUCGAUCGGUGUCAGGUUAGUUACCACCUAGCGAAGCAUCUUCCGUUCCCGAAAGUAACAGAGAAAUUCAUGGCUUGACAAGAGCAACAAUUCAGAAUCUCACCAUCCAUGGCUAUAGCUUCAAACAAUGGCGAGUGAUCGACAAUUAUUUUCGGAAACGCGUACGCCGCGGGCGAAUUCACACAUUCACAAUUAAUCCAAAUCAAAUGCGUUUGGGUUGGCUACCUAACGCUUUUGUCUCGGUCAAACUGAACCUCCUCAAAUAAGAGCCCCCUGCAAUGGCCUCAAUGAGCGCUACCGCGUACGUGCGAGCUGAGGCGCGUACGCGGUUGGUGUGACGAAAGGAUCGAUCAGCUAGCUGCUAUAGCUACCGGGCAACUCCGCAAGAAGAGCUCUCUCUCCCGGUCCCUUUCUCUCCUGUGGUGGAGCGAGAGAUGGAUGCCUAGUGGACUCUGAACGCUCACACACAUCCUGCAUGCACGCUCAUCAUAUACAGACUUACAUGGGUGGAGCUGAAACUGUUUGACUAAGCUUCAGCUUCAAGAGAUGUGGAACUGAAACUGUUUGGCUAAGCUUCAGCUUCAAGAGAACUGGAGCUGGAGCUGGAAUUGUACCAACAAACAUACCCCAAUUAACACACAUCUAAAUAAGAUUGAAGGCCGUCCUAUAACCUCACGGUAUCAUAUUGUCUUUUUGGGCUAUGUUUUCGAACAAGUCUCCCAAGAUGACAUUUGCCAUGCAUGUUCUACAGAAAACUUGGUUUCUUUUCUUAACAAACAUAGCUGCUCUUUUUCUGAUUGUUUGUAGACUACUAUUACAUUAUGAGUAUGAUGGCUUAAAAUAUAGGAUAAAAUAUUUAUGCUAGGCCUGAACGUUGGGCUCCGAAAUUAUCAUGUCGUUCGUACGUUCUAUCAAUAAGGCUGAGUUCUAAGUGAAAACUUCAAACCGCAAGUUCCUCAUUUUUCAUUAGCAUGUUUCCCGAAUUCAUUUUUCAUUAGCAUGUUUCCCGAAUGGUUAAACUAUGUGUAUUGUGAAAAAAAAAUCUAUACAUAAGUUUUCUAAAAAAAUCAAAUAAAUCCAUUUUAAGUUUAUACCAAUAGUUAAUAGAGUACUUAAUUAAUUAUUUAUUUAUGAGCUAAUGAGCUUGUUUGAUCACGUGCGGCUGAAAAUAUAACCCCCAAAUUCACAAACAAACACACCCUAAGAGACAAUGUUGGCUCAGGAUCUUCAAUAGAAAAACAGAAAAUAUAUCUAGAAAAUUCAUGGUGGUUACUCAGAGCUCCAACGAAAAAAAAAAUCGACUCACUUGAACAAAGGAUUAAAAAAAACCUGAAACCAUACAACUUUUAUUAGAAUUUUUUUAGAUCCCAUUAAUUGCAAAGAAAAAUAUUGGCAUGCCGAAGAUAUUAAACUGCCGUUGAUGUAUAGGAAAUACUUAGGUAUCUUAAGCAAUAUCUACCAGGGUUUUGUAGUAUAACCGUGUCAUGAAAUUUAGGGCUGUUCAUUUUGAUAUCAUUUUCAACUUUACUAAAUUUUGAUAAAGUUGCCAAAAAAAGUAGCUACAUUUAGUUUGCUGCCAAAUUUUGGUGACUAUAUAAGAAAUCCUACCAAAAUUUUGGCAAUUGCCAAAAUUUGGUAAGGUUUUUUUGGCAUCAAAGUGAAUAGACCCUUAAUUAAACCGUGCUAUAUUAUUAGUACUAUCCCCCAUUUGUUAUCUGACAUUGGUUCCAUGGGAACAUAUCCUAUCCACAGUUUUCCGUGCACACUCCGUGCACACCAAGUAGCAAAUGUCACGAAAAAUUCUAGAAAACAUCUGACAUAUACUCUUAAUAGUAUUACACAUAUCUACAAAGUCUUAUAUUCAAAUUCAUUGUAUUUUAUCCGUAACAAAAAAUGAAAAAUAUGACAGUAUUAAGAGUAGAAAACUGUCAGAAUUUUGUCUUUUUUGUUACAGCUAAAAUAUAACGAAUUUAACAUGAGAUUUCAUAUAUAGUAUAAUACUAUUGAAAGUUUAUGUUCAUUUUUUUCUAAAAUUUUCCGUGGUAUUUGCUAGUUGGUGUGCACGAAAAGAUUAUCUGUAUAAGAUAUGCUCUUUGAUUUCACAGUACUCCCUCUGUCAAAGAAUAUAAGAAGUUUUAGAGUUGGACAUGGUUAUUAAGUAAGUAGGUAUAAGUAAAUGGUGGAGGGUUGUGAUUGGAUGAGUAGUAGAGAUAGGUAUGAAAAGUAAAUGGUGGAGGGUUGUAAUUGAUUGGGAAAAGAAUAUUGGUGUAUAAGUUAUUUUAUUUUAGAAUAAAUUCUAAGAGCUAAAAGUAAUUAUAUUUUGGAAUAUAGAGAGUAUAACCAAACAUCAGAAAAACACGGAGAGAUAGUUUAGGUUGUUUUCCUUUAGAAGCGUUGCGAACCCUUCCCUCACGAGACACAAAACUGAGUAACGGAUUAUCAAAUAAUUAAUUAAGUAUUAGCUUAAAAACUUAAAAAUAGAAUAAUAUAACUUUUAAACCAACUUUCUUAUAGAAUACUUGAUAAAGAAUACACUGUUUAAUGAAAAAGGAGAAACUAUAAGUUGUGAAAGUGUAUAAUACACAUGCCAUCUUUCAGAGCAAUUUCGCGAUAAAUACCUCUAGUAGAAUUUAAAAGAACAACAUAUACGACUUCCUGCACAUCCGCUGCUCAACUCUGCCAUGUAAAGAUCGGCGUCGUUCGUUCACGCGCUCCAGUUACCGCGUUGCUUGCGCAGUUGCGCGUCGGCAUGGAGGGAGGGAUGGCCCACCCCUCCUUCGUUACGAAGCUGCGUUCUUUACCACUGUUCCCAAAUUCCCUUCCUGCUUUCACGCGCACGCUUUUUUAACUACUAAAUGGUGUAUUUUUAUAAAAAAAAUUCCAUAUGAGAGUUGUUUAAAAAUCAUAUUAAAUCCAUUUUUUUAAAAAAAAAUUAACAAAUACUUAAUUAAUCAUCCGCUAAUCGCUGCUCCGUUUUCCGUGCUGGAGGGAACCAGUUCCCAACUGUGAGUAUCGAACAGAGCUCCGAGAACUUCCUCGGCUUUGGCCCCUACUCUCUCUCCGUGUGUAGACCUUCGACUUUUUUAGUAUAUUGCAUUGGUGUGUUGGAAUUCGCUACGUCUAUCUCUCCAUUUGAUGUUAAAAAGGUUGCAAUGUUGUUUGGAUCGUGGGGGCGGUGCGAGAUACUCAUUUUUUUUAGAAACACAAACACAGUACAAACGCAGAGGCUCACAACGUGCGCACACUCACCCCUUCCGGCAUAUCUUGAGAUUGAUGAAGUCACCACGGGCGGCGCCUCACUGUCGAGGGGGCAACGCAUUAGCUCCAGUUUUGGGCACAGCUACAAAGGUGUGAGGAUGAUGGGGAAUUCCUAAAGGUUGCAUGCCGCAGGUUGGAGUCGAUGGUUAUGCAACUAUUUGCCAAUUAUGGGUGGAGGUUCAUAAAUAGACUUCAAUAAAUGUGUUCUCCUUAUUUUGGCUUGGUUACCUUUGUUUUUGUUUGGUGUGUUCUUUUUAUCUGAACUACACUCUUUUCUGGAGUGCUACUUUGUAAUAAUUGGCUGUAGCUCUUUUUUAGCAAAGUCUGGGAUGUUAUAUUCCAUUAUCUAAAAAAAUUAAUCUCUAUUAUUAUAAAAA